ACCUGGUUGAUCCCGCCAAGGAAGCACACUUUGGUCAUGGAUUAAGCCAUGCAAGUGUUAGUUCAGGCAACGAAACUGCGAAUAGCUCAUUAAUACGCUCAGAAUCUAAUUGACGGCGACUCUUCGGGGCCUUAAAUGGAUAGCAGCAGUAAUUCUGGUGCUAAUACAUGCUAUUUGUUUCAUCAGAUACGAAUUAUGGUGGAAAAGUUGACCUUAUGGGCACGUCAUUCGAUUGAGCGACCUAUCAGCUUGUACUUAGGGUCUUUACCUAGGUAGGCUAUCACGGGUAACGGGCGGUUACCGUCGGACUGCCGGAGAAGGCGCCUGAGAGAUAGCGACUAUAUCCACGGGUAGCAGCAGGCGCGAAACUUACCCACUCGAGACUUUCGGAGGUGGUAAUGACCAGUUUUAGAUUAGCUCUUCAUAGGGCUGUUUAAAUAGGACUCUAGUUUUCCACUAGUGUGAAACCUAGCAGAGGGCCAGUCUGGUGCCAGCAGCUGCGGUAAUUCCAGCUCUGCGAGUUUGCUCCCAUAUUGUUGCAGUUAAAACGCCCGUAGUCUGAAUUUCUAGAUUAUGCUCCACUCAGGGGCGUUCACUGUGAACAAAUCAGGACGCUUAAAGUAGGGUUAACAUGAAUGACUUAGCGCAGUAUGAUAUUUUUACCUUCGGUAAGGUCAAAGAGAGCCACCGGGGAUAGAUCUAUUUCAUGGCGAGCGGUGGAAUGCUCUGACCCAUGAGAGAGAAACGAAGGCGAAGGCAUCUAUCUAGCGGGUUUCUAUCGAUCAAGGGCGAGAGUAGGAGUAUCCAACCGGAUCAGAGACCCGGGUAGUUCCUACCUUAAACGAUGCCGACAGGGGCUUGUUAUUCAUUAAUAGCAGGACCUUAGGAGAAAUCAUAGUUCUUGGGCUCUGGGGGAACUACGACCGCAAGGCUGAAACUUGAAGGAAUUGACGGAAGGGCACACCAGGGGUGGAGCUUGUGGCUUAAUUUGAAUCAACACGGGGAAACUUACCAGGACCAGGUGUUCUGUAUGACUGACAGGCUAUAGGUCUUCCAGGAUUGAACUUUGGGUGGUGCAUGGCCGUUGGUGGUGCGUGGGUUGACCUGUCUAGCGUUGAUUCAGAUAACGAGCGAGAUUAUCACCAAUUAUCUACGAAUUUCCGACUUCUGUACGGAGAUUCUGUUCUAAUUGGGACUCCCUGUGUUUAAAUAGGAGGAAGAGGGUAGCAAUAACAGGUCCGUGAUGUCCUUCAGAUGCUCUGGGCUGCACGCGCGCUACAAUGUUAGGAUCAAAGAGCUUACGAAUUCGAAAGAAUGAGUAACUCUCUUAAUACCUAACGUGGUUGGGAUUGACGAUUGUAAUCAUCGUCAUGAACUAGGAAUCCCUUGUAAAUGUGUGUCAACAACGCACGUUGAAUACGUCCCUGCCCUUUGUACACACCGCCCGUCGCUCCUACCGAUGAAUGAUUCGGUGAAAUUACUGGACCUUAUUUUGGGAAAGGUAAUUAAAUCAAAUUACUUAGAGGAAGGAGAAGUCGUAACAAGGUAACGGUAGGUGAACCUGCAG
rnacentral:rRNA from 1 species